UUAAGAAUCACUUGUACAGGCCACACAUCCAGUAAUGUUCCCGUUGUCAUGCAAAGUUUUCUUUUUUCAUAAUCUUUUAUUUUAUCCUAGGAUUCACAUGAAUUGAAAAAGAAGGUAAAUUUUUUGAAGCAAGUUCUCGCAGUGAAUAAUGAGGUGAGAUUUCUUCCUGAAAUGCAGAAGCAUGCAAACAUGAUUAUCAUUGGAAAAAGCCCAAGUUUCAACCAGCGCGCGUACCUAACCGAGAUGCGCGCGCUUUGACGAAAUAAACGUGCACUACCAUGACAAUGAAAAAAGAUCAGAGAAGAAAAGAUGAUCGGGAUUCCAUACCGCAGGGAUCGAGUUGUUGAUCAAAGAGUAAAGUGAAUUGGGCUUUCCAAAAGUUUCUUUUUUCGAAUCCGGAAAAAUCAGGAAAGGUACCGUGUCACUGUCGUGAAUCUAAAAGUUUUGGAGAAGGAUAAACGAUUGUAAUUACGGUGAAAGAACAUUUGAGAUUGAGCAUACCUAUAGCUAAUUCUUACACUCAUCAAGUAAGCGGAAAAUUUUAUUUGUACUCUUUGUUGUUUUCAGGUAAACUAACCCAGUCCCGAUCAUCCUUCGAAAACGCGAAAACAUUAGACAUUCUUUUAGAACAGCUACCUUUCCUUAAUGAAAAAUUCUACAACCUUAAGAACUUUUUUGAUCUAGGAAAAACUGCUUUCUUCGGUGAUUGAAUUCAGUCGCUAGCCGCAAUGUUACACGUUGACUCUGCUGAACAGUGGGAGGUUUCUGCAGGGACUUCGGAGGAGUACUUACACCUCUUCCUUAGUAACAGAAGCGAUCUCUUUUGAGAAAAUAAGAAACAAAAGUGAAACAUUUAUUUGAUUAAAAGACAGGAAAAUAU